CCUACGAGUGGCAGCAGUAGGGAAUCUUCCACAAUGGGCGAAAGCCUGAUGGAGCAACGCCGCGUGGGUGAAGAAGGUCUUCGGAUCGUAAAACCCUGUUGUUAGAGAAGAAAGUGCGUGAGAGUAACUGUUCACGUUUCGACGGUAUCUAACCAGAAAGCCACGGCUAACUACGUGCCCGAAGCCGCGGUAAGACGUAGGUGGCAAGCGUUAUCCGGAUUUAUUGGGCGUAAAGGGAACGCAGGCGGUCUUUUAAGUCUGAUGUUAAAGCCUUCGGCUUAACCGGAGUAGUGCAUUGGAAACUGGGAGACUUGAGUGCAGAAGAGGAGAGUGGAACUCCAUGUGUAGCGGUGAAAUGCGUAGAUAUAUGGAAGAACACCAGUGGCGAAAGCGGCUCUCUGGUCUGUAACUGACGCUGAGGUUCGAAAGCGUGGGUAGCAAACAGGAUUAGAUACCCCAGUAGUC
rnacentral:rRNA from 1 species